UCCAGACUCCUACGGGAGGCAGCAGUGAGGGAUAUUGGUCAAUGGGGGAAACCCUGAACCAGCAACGCCGCGUGAGGGAAGACGGUUUUCGGAUUGUAAACCUCUGUCCUCUGUGAAGAUAAUGACGGUAGCAGAGGAGGAAGCUCCGGCUAACUACGUGCCAGCAGCCGCGGUAAUACGUAUGGUGCAAGCGUUAUCCGGAUUUACUGGGCGUAAAGGGAGCGUAGGCGGCGCGUUAAGUCUGAUGUGAAAACCCGAGGCUCAACCACGGGAGUGCAUUGGAAACUGGCGGGCUGGAGUGCCGGAGAGGUAAGCGGAAUUCCUAGUGUAGCGGUGAAAUGCGUAGAUAUUAGGAGGAACACCAGUGGCGAAGGCGGCUUACUGGACGGCAACUGACGCUGAGGCUCGAAAGCGUGGGGAGCAAACAGGAUUAGAUACCCGCGUA
rnacentral:rRNA from 1 species